ACCGUCACAUUUCUCAAAGGUACUCUCGAGCCAUUCCUGGCACUUAGGAGGUGUGUCUAUGGUUCCUGGAGGGCGUUUUCUGAGGGUUAGAUUUCUCUUGUGUAGCUCGACUCUGCUGAAGUCGACAUCACUGGUUUUGAGGCUUGAUAGUGUCCAAAACCCAUAUGUAGGUUGAAAGGGAACUCUCAGUGGACCUGAGGCCCAUAGGUUCAAGUGUUCUGAAGGGAGGCGCUUUGGUUGGAAGGUACUUGGUUAUAUGUGGACCACAAAGGGGACCAGUGUCUGUCUAUCUGCUGACUCCUUGUCAACAUCUAGUAGGAAGAGAUUUGCUUGGGAAUAGAAAUGUUUGUACCAUGAGCACCCCAACGUCUCGUGCCAGAUGCAGUAUUCAAUGUGAGUUUGUGGGUAUUAGGCCUCAGCUGAACUUCAGCAGCUCAGUGGCCAUGUUUCUAGACAAUGGACUUUCAGGGAAAGUAUCUGCAGGAAAGCACACGGGAACUCAGAGGAGCCAUUGUGGGACGGGCUGCCUGGCCAUGAGGUGAUCAAGUCUGAGGUACUGAAAGCAGGGAAGAACUCUAGGCUUGCUGCCCUUGAGCUCCUGUCCUGGCAUCUUCGCCUUCUGCUGUCUGUGAGGGCUAUGCUGAGCUUCCCUCUCUGACUCUUCAGGUACUGACUCGCCCUGCCCACUCAUAGAAGUUGGUGGAUGAAUAGCAUGCAGGGAAGCCUCCUUGGCCUGGGGCUUCUCUGUAAGGAGGCAUCAUAGGAGGGGAGUCCAUGAGGCCCGAAACAUGGAGCUGCUACCUGCAGCGGUGGAGGGCCUCAGCAGAGGGGACCAACUCCAGAAUGUCAUCGAGGUGGGAGUGCCACACAUACUCCUUUCCCAUCUGAGGCUUCAUGGUCCAGGUCGCCGGUAAUCUUGGGUUUCCCUGCAUUGGCCUGCCUUUGCUUUGGUGCCAGCUCGGUAGGUAUUUUCUGGUGCUCAGAGGAAGAGUGGAAAUCCAAAGCCAGGAUACCUGGCAUGGCCAAGCCAGAGUCAAACAUACGUGUCAGGAAAGAGGAAGUGAAGGGGACACGCAGGGGUCGAGGUUGGCUAAGGAAGCUGAAUGAAACAGAUUGUGGCUCCUUCAACAGACUCCAUAGGGAGGCUCAGCCUGGGUGUGAGAUGUUGGGGAGCAGGGGACCUGUGAGAUGUUGGGGAGCAGGGGACCUCUUCACUGUCUAUAUAUCGUGGUCCAAACCUACAUGGCAAGAGGUAACCUGCCUAGGCUCUUAGCACUUUGCUGUGGGAGUUGUCCCUAGGUCUGUCCAGAGCCUACCCUCUACUGCCUGUGGUACAGGGAUGGAGAAGACAGUAUGCCUUGACUUGGCAGCUCCUCCUCGGGCCUGUCGUUCCCUACCAGCAUGUGUGAGCUCUGGGCCUGGGCAAGAGUGCUCAGAGAGGUGCCUAUCAGGAAGGAACAAAGUCUCUUCAAGCCCUAAUUGUCCGUGGUCAGGGGGCUGCGCCAAUAAGUACAGUUGGCUAAGCCAGUGUCUCUGCUUAGAGGUCCUUCCUGCCCCCAGUAUUUGGUUUUGUGUAUAUAAGACUUGGCCCAGCAUCUUCUCAGAAGCCUUGCAGCAUGGUCUUCUGUCAUCCUGUGACAUGCUGUGGGAUUGGAGAGCCACCUCCUCCUCCUCUUUAAGUCUGUCUUCUGUCUUUCUGUGGACUUCUUUGUACCUGUGGGGGUGGUCUAUGGGGUCUAUGUGCACUUUAAUCUAUGGUGCCUCUGGUAGGGGUUUGCUAUAUGUGAUCAUAUGGGUGAUUCAGUGUUUCAUGAUGUAAUUACAAGUUUCUCAUGGAUAGCUCAGUGUCAACAGUGGAACUGGGGCUGGGUAAUGUCCUGAGCUGGGUGUUUAGGAGAUGGCACCGGGCCCCUUUUAACUCUCUGCCAAAUAGACUUCCCUGGGAAUUCUGGCACCUGUCCUCUUUGGGACAAGGGUUUCUUAAUGGUUUCUACUGUAAGGGAGGCCAGAAGCAGGGGGCGGGGGAGGACAAGACAUCGCUUCUGGUUUUUUGUGAGCCAGGAACAGGUUUCUCUGGCAACUUGGGAAGUCCCCAGACUAGGAAGGAGCAUCCUGUCUCCUCCUGGUCCAGCUGUCCCUGAGGUAAAAGUCCAUUAGAGGAGUCAGUCUUCCUCUGGUAUAUGCAGUGUGCUCACUGUGUGCAGGAAGACCAAGUGGCUUGCUGUUGCCCUCGUCUGUGACACUUUUGUACACUGAUUUGCCACUCAUGGCACUGAGCAGACAUCCAUCCCUACUCAGUGAAAAACCAGUCAAAAGCAAAAGUCCUUUGAAGCAGAAGUUGAUGCUUUGGAAAACUCUUGACUUAUUUUGGUGUCAACAUUAUGUUAGAUUUGAAAGCAUUCUUCGUGUAUUUGAUGUAAUUGUAGCGAAGAGAGCAGGAUUGAAUGGUGUUCAGUUAUUUCUUCUGGGACAUGGAAAGCCUGUCCCCCAUCCUUCUUCUGAAGCCGAGUCUGCUGUGUACUGUUACCCUCGAGGGAGCGCAGGGCUCUUCUGAGAGCCGGUCUCUGAACUGCUGCUUCUGGGACAUGCUUCCCCACCUCCUCCAGUCUACCUCCCCUCUUGGGGUGUUUUUGUAAUGUGCUUUCUCUGUUUUGUAAAAUCCCUUUGAUUGUAAUGAAGUGGGUUCUGCAGCCACCUUUUGGAAAUAAAUGGUCCUUAAAUUGUGUACUUAGCAUUUUGAAUCUUAGCCUCAGGUGUUUCUGCUGUUGAAGAUUCCUGAAUGAAAAGAAACCCUCCCCAUGGGACUUAUUGUUACAAUGUUUUCUUCAUUUACUGUUAUUAAAAGAUUUAUG
rnacentral:lncRNA from 1 species